GUUGGUGUCAAUUUGCCCUGUGCAUAUUGGUUUUACUUUAAUUGAGCAGUACUUAUAAGCUGGUGUCAAUUUGUUCCGGAUCCAGAUGUUGAUACUUACAUGAAGGCAGUUUCUGCCAAAGGACAAAAAACUACCCUUCAAACAGAUCAUGUUCUAAAGGUCCUUGGACUCGAUAUCUGUGCUGACACAAUGGUGGGAGGUGAGAUGAGAAGAGGCAUCACUGGAGGACAAAAAAGGAGACUGACUACAGG